rnacentral:ncRNA from 1 species
UUAAAGGUAAUGAAGGGGAGCAAGUAACCUGACUCCCGGGCUGUAGAGAGUUGGUGGUUGGUGCAAGCCAGCGCCCGGCCAGGUGAAAGGAUCGCCCCGGAACUGCCGGCUGAAAGGUGUCUUAAGCCGAUUAAGCCAAGGACGGGUUGGCCGCUGUUAGAAAGGCCGUGUCGUUUGUUAGACACAAAAGCAGGUCUUUAUUUUAUAAAGAUAAAGGCAAGCAGGGUGGUACCGCGCGAGGAUCUAAAGCCUCUCGUCCCUGGC